rnacentral:rRNA from 1 species
GGGUUGUGAGGUUAAGCGACUAAGCGUACACGGUGGAUGCCCUGGCAGUCAGAGGCGAUGAAGGGCGUGCUAAUCUGCGAUAAGCGCCGGUAAGGUGAUAUGAACCGUUAUAACCGGCGAUACCCGAAUGGGGAAACCCAGUGUGAUUCGUCACACUAUCAUUACGUGAAUACAUAGCGUAAUGAAGCGAACCGGGGGAACUGAAACAUCUAAGUACCCCGAGGAAAAGAAAUCAACCGAGAUUCCCCCAGUAGCGGCGAGCGAACGGGGAGGAGCCCAGAGCCUGAAUCAGCAUGUGUGUUAGUGGAAGCGUCUGGAAAGGCGCGCGAUACAGGG